GGAGAUAGUAGCCACCCAGUGCAGAAAUGAUUCGGCUGGUCAUGCAUAUUGUACACCAUCACUGUGUGUGAAAGCAGGACCAUUUGUUGGCCAGUUCAAGCUCCCCAAUGAUUUGGACAAGUCCUAGGUGUUCUGCUUUCUUUUCAGUAUCAGGCAAAGACCUUUUACAAAAGGUCCAGGCUUUUAUGCAGUCUUUAUGCUGGAGCCGUCUCUGUCCUUGAGUUUGUGUGUUUGUGUUCCAAAAACAUGUGCCUUGUGUUUGGAGGACUGUUUUUGCUGUGAGCUGCUCUGAAAAUCUUCAGACUACUAGAGUAGGGUAUUAAUAUUUGUAAUAAAUAAAUACACCAUCUGCGGUGCAGUAAGUGGCCCUUAAAACUGGAAUAGCAAGCACUAACAGCAAUAAUUCACAUUGAUACAGUACUUUACAUACAUUAACUCAAUAAUCCUUACAGCAAUUCUGUAACCUAUGUCUUUAUUAGUACUGCUACUUUUGCUGUCCCUAGUACCAAGAUUACUAUUCCCAGCAUUUUGGAGAUAGGGACGUCAUACCAAAAACAGCUUUGUUUUGUGUGUUUCUUCUGGAAUUUUUAAAUGUUGAAAGGUGGUGUGCAGAUUUUGGAAAUAAAUUAAGACUGCCUCAUGAUUUUAUGACAUUAUUUUGGAUGAAAUUUGAAUUGCGAUUUCUUGCUCAUAACACACACUUUAACAGGACAUUUUUGUUAUUUUCGACUCAGGACAAGUCACCUACUUCAGUGGAGUCUACUUAGAGAUGGACACAGAUUGCAGCUUUAUGCACGAAUCCUAUCUCUCAGGUCCAGGACCACGGGGCAUUGAGACUAAGAUUCGACGCAGCACAUGGAAACAGCCUUCACAGACUUAUUUUUAUUUCUGCUCUUCACACUUCUAAGACUUUUUUUGCAUUAGAUAUACAAUCCAUUCCUGACAAAAAUAAAAUGUCUCUUUAACUGAUAUGUUGUUUAAAA
rnacentral:lncRNA from 1 species